UGGCUCAGUUCAGAUCGUAGGCUGCAACUCGCCUACGUGAAGGAGGAAUCGCUAGUAAUCGCAGGUCAGCAUACUGCGGUGAAUACGUUCCCGGGCCUUGUACACACCGCCCGUCACACCAUGGAAGUUGGCCACGCCCGAAGCCGUUACUCCAACCCUUGUGGAGGAGGACGUCGAAGGUGGGGCUGAUGACUGGGGUGAAGUCGUAACAAGGUAGCCGUACCGGGAGGUGCGGCUGGAUCACCUCCUAACAGGGAGACAACACAAUGAUUUUGAUGCCUGAGUGCUUUUAUUCUUAGGCCGAAAUCCUGUCACCUUAGGUCGAUCGGUACCUCAGCUUUGAAGUCAAGAGUGUGCAGUGAUGCAGAUUGCUUGAUGGAGAUUCUUAGUUCCUAAACUUUGUCUAGGUCACACCCCAAAAGGGAUGAGACUCCUGGGCCAUUAGCUCAGGUGGUUAGAGCGCACCCCUGAUAAGGGUGAGGUCCCUGGUUCAAGUCCAGGAUGGCCCAUUCGGUGUUGGGGGUUUAGCUCAGUUGGUAGAGCGCCUGCUUUGCAAGCAGGAUGUCAGGAGUUCGAGUCUCCUAACCUCCACUGACCGAACUUUGUCCCCAACUUCAGAGUAUGGAGUUGAGCUCGAGUGGCGUGUGAUUUAGAUGUGUCCGCUGGAAGACCCCAGCUUCCUGUCAUUCUAGAAAUUGAUCGAAUCAGUUUUUAGUUGAUAAGAUGCUGGGCUCGAACUG
rnacentral:misc_RNA from 1 species